AGACAGGAGUCUCUCCCAGCCCUACCUGGAGAUGCCAGGGAUUGAAUUUGGGAGCUUCUGCCAUUCAGCUCCCUAUGAGGAGCAGGAAGAGCUGCUGCACCCUGGGUUGCCAUCCUAUCAAGCAAUCCACUAUGACUCUAAGACCUCUCACUCUUUUUCAGUCACCACCAAUCCAGUCCCCAUAUGUGUAUAUGUCAAAUUAGUAAUUUCUGCCCCAACGUCCAUCACUUUCCCCUUGCUUAGACUGCAUUUGAUGAUGGUUGACUGAAGACAGAUGUGCCUCCAGCCAGGACCAGAUGCAGACUUUGUGAUGCAGUUUCAGCUCUGCUUUCUCUUCCGCACCUCACUCUGCUACUGACACGUGUACCUGGCUCUUACUCAGUGAGAAUGUUUGCCUUUCUCAAGGCUGGCUCCCUUCCUCCUCUACAUCUUUCCCAACUCAUUUUUUUCCAUUUAAACAAUUGUUCUUGUGUUUUUUUUACUGCUGUCAUUGUAUUUUAACACAUUUUAUGUAUGCUGCCUUGAGAAUUCUGGUUAUGGGGCAGCAUAGAAGUACCAUAAACAAAGAAACAAGAAA